AAUAAAAUAUAAUAAAAUAAAAUAAAAAAAGUAAAAUAAAAUAAAAUAAUGAAAAGGAAAAUGGAAAACCCAGUCCUGUCUAAGAAAUCAGAGUUGCUUAGGACUCUGAAGAAUUUAAUAGCGUCGUGGUGAACCAUUUUGUCUGCUACUGUUGAGAUGUAAGCAUUAAAGCAAUGUAAAACUAGCUAAACCCUUACAAAAAAAAAAAAAAAAGAUGAAGAAGAUAAAAAACCUCCCUUCUUGUCUUACCAACACUGCUAUUAUCACAUAGUGUGUUUCACAUGAUAAGCCAUUCAUUAAAGCAUCACCUACUGUUUUUUUCCUCCUCGGAACCAGCUAGAACAUGAUCUGUCUCUGCAUGAAGACAUCGGACCUCUGACCUUUUCUGUAGCUAUUCCAGGUAGAACAAGAAAUCCUCACCACUACUUUUCUGAAGGGAAGCUGAGGAGCAGUUGAUGGAAGACACUGUCAUAACAGGGAUGAUGAAUGUUGCCAGAUUUAUAUCCACUUUCUUGUUCCAGUUGAUGCCAGCCUGCAUUCCUUUGCUGUUGUGCAGGUAUGACUAAGUACUGUCUCAUUCCAUUGAAUAGGGCAUCAUUUGUCUUGGGUUCUACAGGCUGGCUGCAUACAU
rnacentral:lncRNA from 1 species